CUUAGGGUUUUGAAGCACAUGACAUAUAGCAGAAGGAAGGAGCUCUGCAAACUUAAAGGGGGAUUAGGCGGAAAGGGAAUAUAAGGAGGCACACUUCAAACGGAAAACGACAAUAGGGUGAUCCAAACGAUUCAAACCAUGACAGUAGUGAGAUAUAAGAAGUCCCCUAGGAACUACAAAUGAAUUUUUCAUUUGAUUUAUUAUUGUGUUGACGAUGAUCAAGUAAUUAUACUUUUCAUAUUGUAACAGAAAA